rnacentral:rRNA from 1 species
UCCGUUGGUGAACCAGCGGAAGGAUCAUUAUCGAGAUCAUGCCCUUCGGGGUAGACCUCCCACCCUGUGUUAUUUACCUUUGUUGCUUUGGCGGGCCGUCCCCCGGGGCGGACCGCCAGAGGACCCCAACCCUGUGUUUAGUGUCGUCUGAGUACUAUAAAAUAAGUUAAAACUUUCAACAACGGAUCUCUUGGUUCUGGCAUCGAUGAAGAACGCAGCGAAAUGCGAUAAGUAAUGUGAAUUGCAGAAUUCAGUGAAUCAUCGAAUCUUUGAACGCACAUUGCGCCCCCGGGUAUUCCCGGGGGCAUGCCUGUUCGAGCGUCAUUUCAACCCUCAAGCCUCGCUUGGUAUUGGGCCACGCCGGAAACGGCCGGCCUUAAAACUAGUGGCGGUGCCGCCGGGCUCUACGCGUAGUAAUACUUCUCGCGUCUGGGUUCCGGUGGACGCUGGCCAGCAACCCCCAAUUUUCUAUGGUUGACCUCGGAUCAGGUAGG